CUAGAGGAGCGGGACUCGAACCCGCUCAAAAGGAAUCAAAAUCCUCCCUACUUCCGUUAUAGUACCCCCUAG
rnacentral:tRNA from 1 species